UUUUUUUUUUUUUUUUUUAUUUUUUUUUUUUUUUUUUUUUUUAAUUUUCAACACUUCCUUUUAAAAUUUACAAUACAUCACAGAACGUGCAAAGUUCGAUGCAAUAAUCAACGGAACAUCUAGUAGAAAGAUUCUUUUCUCGAGUUAUUCAUAGUACUUUCGUGCCAACGCAAGAA
rnacentral:ribozyme from 17 species